rnacentral:lncRNA from 1 species
GCCAGGACAAAUGAUUGAAGAGAAGUAGAAGUCAGCUUUGACAUUUACAUUAUCAUUAUUUUUUUUCCCUUAUCGUUUAGCUUCACAAAGUUUCACUUUAACCUCAUUCUUAAUCGUACAUUUGGCUUCUCACCAUUGUCCGUCCAGUCUAAAUCUAAUAAUAAUUCUAAAAAAUUCUAUCCCUCUUCCACCCACCCCUAACCUCCGCCCUUAAAAGGUAUAACUUCAUCCGAACAUAGAGUUAGAUGAUAUGAAGGAAUGAUAAUGAUUACUUGGAGGUUGAGGAAUAUUUUUUGUAAAUGAUUGCCACGUGGUGUGACUAGCAACAAGCCAGGAUCCAAAUGAUUGGAGAGAAUUAUGAGUCAACUUUGUGCUUUACGUUACCUAUAAUUUUCAAAAACAUUUAUAUUUCACAAAGUUUGACUUCAAUCUCAUUCUUAAUUGUACAUUCAACUGCUCGCUGAUGUAUGAUAAUACCUAGCCCUUUCUCACCAUUGUCCAAUCGAAUCUUAAAUGAUAAUCUAUUUACUCUUUCAUCCACCUCCGCCCUUAUAGCAGUAUAGCAAUUAAAGCAACCCAAAAUACAAUGAAGUCGUUAAUGAACAAAAUCUGAAGCCAUAAUAGUGAGAGUGAUACCAAUACAAGAACAAAGAGAUAGUUGAUAUGAAGGAAAGCCUUAUGCUUACUUGGAAAGUGAGUUAGUGGAUAUGAAGGAAUGAUAAUGAUUACUUGGAGGUUGAGGAAUAUUUUUUGUAAAUGAUUGCCACGUGGUGUGACUAGCAACAAGCCAGCAUCCAAAUGAUUGGAGAGAAUUAUAAGUCAACUUUGUGCUUUAAGUUAUCUAUAAUUUUCAAAAACAUUUAUAUUUCACAUAGUUUGACUUCAAUCUUAUUCUUAAUUGUACAUUCAACUGCUCGCUGAUGGAUGAUAAUACCUAGCCCUUUCUCACCAUUGUCCAAUCGAAUCUUAAAUGAAAAUCUAUUUACUCUUUCAUCCACCUCCGCCCUUAUAGCAGUAUGGCAAUUAAAGCAACCCAAAAUACAAUGAAGUCGUUAAUGAACAAAAUCUGAAGCCAUAAUAGUAGAGUGAUACCAAUACAAGAACAAAGAGAUAGUUGAUAUGAAGGAAAGCCUUAUGCUUACUUGGAAAGUGAGUGAGACGAUAUGAAGGAAUGACAAUGAUUACUUGAAGGUUGAGGAAUAUUUUUUGUAAAUGAUUGCCACGUGGUGUGACUAGCAACAAGCCAGCAUCCAAAUGAUUGGAGAGAAUUACGAGUCAACUUUGUGUUUUACGUUAUCUAUAUUUUUCAAAAACAUUUAUAUUUCUCAAAGUUUGACUUCAAUCUCAUUCUUAAUUGUACAUUCAACUGCUCGCUGAUGAUAAUACCUAGCCCUUUCUCACCAUUGUCCAAUCGAAUUUUAAAUGAAAAUCUAUUUAUUCUUUCAUCCACCUCCGCCCUUAUAGCAGAAUAGCAAUUAAAGCAACCCAAAAUACAAUGAAGUCGUUAAUGAACAAAAUCUGAAGCCAUAAUAGUUAGAGUGAUACCAAUACAAGAACAAUGAGAUAGUUGAUAUGAAGGAAAGCCUUAUGCUUACUUGGAAAGUGAGUUAGACGAUAUGAAGGAAUGACAAUGAUUACUUGAAGGUUGAGGAAUAUUUUUUGUAAAUGAUUGCCACGUGGUGUGACUAGCAACAAGCCAGUAUCCAAAUGAUUGGAGAGAAUUAUGAGUCAACUUUGUGCUUUACGUUAUCUAUAUUUUUCAAAAACAUUUAUAUUUCACAAAGUUUGACUUCAAUCUCAUUCUUAAUUGUACAUUCAACUGCUCGCUGAUUAUAAUACCUAGCCCUUUCUCACCAUUGUCCAAUCGAAUCUUAAAUGAAAAUCUAUUUACUCUGAUGAGGACAUCCAAUUUUAAUUAAUUUUAGCAAUUUUAAUUAUUUUAGUUGGAACUUAGGUUAUUUUAAUUUCAUGGACUUUUGUAUUGGGCUUGGCCCUAGGUUUGCAUUAUUUUUCCAGUAUUUAAACCUAUCUUACAUUGUUAUUUGAGUUAAUGAAUUUGAUGAAAUAAAAGAGUUGGCUUCAGCCGUUUCUCCUCUCUCCCCGCCUCUGCCUUCUUCUUCUCUUCUCCUCCCCUUCCCUUCUUGUUAUUUACUAAUUCAGUAAUCUCCCUACAUC